rnacentral:rRNA from 1 species
AACUGAGACACGGUCCAGACUCCUACGGGAGGCAGCAGUGGGGAAUAUUGGACAAUGGGCGAAAGCCUGAUCCAGCCAUGCCGCGUGUGUGAAGAAGGUCUUCGGAUUGUAAAGCACUUUAAGUUGGGAGGAAGGGCAGUAAGUUAAUACCUUGCUGUUUUGACGUUACCAACACAAUAAGCACCGGCUAACUUCGUGCCAGCAGCCGCGGUAAUACAAAGGGUGCAAGCGUUAAUCGGAAUUACUGGGCGUAAAGCGCGCGUAGGUGGUUCAGCAAGUUGGAUGUGAAA